rnacentral:rRNA from 1 species
AACGAACGCUGGCGGCAUGCCUAACACAUGCAAGUCGAACGAGACCUUCGGGUCUAGUGGCGCACGGGUGCGUAACGCGUGGGAACCUGCCCUUAGGUUCGGAAUAACUCCCCGAAAGGGGUGCUAAUACCGGAUAAUGUCUUCGGACCAAAGAUUUAUCGCCUUUGGAUGGGCCCGCGUUGGAUUAGCCAGUUGGUAGGGUAAAAGCCUACCAAGGCGACGAUCCAUAGCUGGUCUGAGAGGAUGAUCAGCCACACUGGAACUGAGACACGGCCCAGACUCCUACGGAGGGCAGCAGUAGGGAGUAUUAGACAAGGAGCGAAAGCCUAAUCCAGCAAUGCCGCGUGAGUGAUGAAGGCCUUAGGGUUGUAAAGCUCUUUUACCCGGGAUGAUAAUGACAGUACCGGGAGAAUAAGCACCGGCUAACUCCGUG